rnacentral:rRNA from 1 species
UACAGAGGGUGCAAGCGUUAAUCGGAAUUACUGGGCGUAAAGCGUGCGUAGUCGGUUAUCUAAGUCGGGUGUGAAAUCCCCGGGCUCAACCUGGGAAUUGCAUUCGAUACUGGAUAGCUAGAGUUCGGCAGAGGGAAGCGGAAUUUCCGGUGUAGCGGUGAAAUGCGUAGAUAUCGGAAGGAACAUCAGUGGCGAAAGCGGCUUCCUGGACCAGAACUGACGAUCAGGCACGAAAGCCAGGGGAGCAAACGGG